CUGCUUCACCAGCCAGGACUAGUCAGCAACAGUACAGAAAAGAUAGCGUGGCCCCUACACAAGAAUGAUGAGAAAAUCCGUGAAGCAUUCCAUGUCUUA
rnacentral:snRNA from 1 species